AUCAAACGUCACUGCUAUUCCCCGUGAGUUUCAUCCCACUCUUCCAAAUAUGCCCCUUCAAUUAGGUUUUAGUGAUUUCUUUAUGUGGCAGAUGGAUUCAUGAAAUCAAACGUAUAUUGGUUUCAAUCUCAAAUAAAUGGCAUUAAAAGUUAAUUGAUGGUGUCGAUUCGUUUCUUUUUGCCUGGUUGUGUUCUCUGAUUCAAGAAGAAAUAAAACACGCUACCUAUAUCUUUCAUUAAACUUCCAAUUUUCAGUUGCCCUAAUUUCAAGGUUCUGCGUUACCCGCGGCGUUUAUUUGGUUCUGCGUCAAUUUCAUCAACUAUUCUAUCUUCCAAAGCUUGCGUUGGGGCUUAGAGAAUACAGUUUAUCCGACAGAAGUGGGACAUUUUCUACAAAGAUCAUAUUCACAAAAUCAAUGUCCCGGUUCAGGCAAUCGCUGGUGAACAGGAUGCAAUAUGUCCCUCUGAAGCCGUGACAUGACGGAGAAGCCUAUGUUAUAUGAUGCUUGGGAUGUUGCAAACAAGAUUGGAAUAAUCUAAGGAUUUUAUGGCCUUACUAGCUUACAAGGAACUAGAACAAUCACCAGUGUUUCAUCUACUUAGUUUGGAGUAUCCGCAACAUGUCGUUGAACAGAGUGUAGAUCCAUAAAUUGUUCAACAUUGAACUGCAGAUGAUUUAAAGAAUAAAAAUUUGGCUGCCCUCAAUCACAUUAAUAGACUAACCACUUUGUUUCAUUAAUUAAAAAGAGGUUCUUCUGAGUUGCAUUUGCCCAGCUAACAUUUUUUGCAUAAAGAUUUCCUUUCAUAGCUCACCUGCCAUUAAAGGGGAAGUGAAGAUUUGGGUUUGUGACCAUAUGUCUCAAGUUCGAAUCCGAUCCCAACCGGGUUUUACUGCAGUGGGUCUUCUGGCGGCGGGUUUUUCCCGAAACCAGGGAUGGUGGGCCUAGGUUACUCAGUGUUGUCUGCAUCGCAGGCGUAUGUGGUUGUCUUUUGCCAUUGGGUUACCUCGGGUAGUCGUGCCUUUAUUCGUUGGUCGUUAAAAAAGCACUUUCUUGUUGUAAAUUUUUAGUCUUUUGAAGCUUGAAUCUUAAUGUAAGCAACACGAGCUUUACGAGUACUUGUUGAUCAAGUUUACAAAGCAUUAUCAUUUAUUU